UACGUAGGGUGCAAGCGUUGAUCGGAAUUACUGGGCGUAAAGCGUGCGCAGGCGGUUAUGUAAGACAGAUGUGAAAUCCCCGGGCUCAACCUGGGAACUGCAUUUGUGACUGCAUAGCUAGAGUACGGUAGAGGGGGAUGGAAUUCCGCGUGUAGCAGUGAAAUGCGUAGAUAUGCGGAGGAACACCGAUGGCGAAGGCAAUCCCCUGGACCUGUACUGACGCUCAUGCACGAAAGCGUGGGGAGCAAACAGG
rnacentral:rRNA from 1 species